UUAAGACUUCCUACUUUAGAAAAAAGAAGAUUCCAGCCAGUGGUUCCGGCGCCACUAUUAAAAAACCAUUGUUUUUGGGAUUAUAUUUAUCCUUUCUGGAUAAUCUUAAGGAAGAUGCUUCAAGAUCACAAGGGAAUUGAAGGCUAAUGUUAAAAGUUUGCAAAAAAUGUGCAGAGGCAGACAUAAUCAAUAUCAACAAGGCGAUAGAAAAGUUAUCUUUUACUGAACAAAUUUCAGUCCAAAAUUGCUUUGAAGCAUCAAAGAAAAAAGUUUGAAAGGCAUGAAGUAUACAACGCAAUGGGUGUACGAAUGUUUACUCUUAAACAUUUAAAGCAAAAAAGCUUAUAAUCACAUAAGAAAACGUCGAAUCCUUGUUUUACCGCAUCCAUCAACAUUGAAGCGUUAUAUUAAAAAAAUUUUUGUUUGCUAUUGUUUCCAAUCUAGCAUUUUUAGUAUAUUAAGCAAAGAAAUAUAGGUGAUGAAAGCCAAUGAAACACGUGGUGUACUUUUGUCGACGAAAUGAAGUUGUCAAAAUCGUUAGCUUUUAAUCGACGUAACCUUAAAGUUGAAGGAUUUACAAAUCUUGGAAAAUAUACACCCGAAAAACAAAAGGAAAAGAAAGGCGAUCACUCCUUAAUUCUUAUGUACUAGCCAUUUAAAGGGAAAUGGAUGCAAGCCUUAAGAUGUUUUUUUAUGCACAGGAAGCUACAUUUUAUUAUGAAUUCAAUUAAUUCUACAUUUAAUGAAUUCAAUUUACAAAAAAGUUACUUUAUUUGAAAACAAAUCAAAUAUUUAUUUAAUGUACAAUCAGACUUUUCGUUUUUCAAAUAAUAAUCCAUCUAUUCUUUUUUACAUUCUAUUCAUUUCAAGACAAUUUCAUGUUAAGGAAAAGUUCGUAUCAAUGUGAAGUUUUAUUCUACAAGCAUUCGUUUUUGAAUUUUCGGAAAAACUGACAGACUUUGGCAAAUUUUAUAAACUGUCUAAAGACAGAUGGAGUUGUAACUUUUUAAGUUCUCGUCAAAAUAUUUAAAUUGAAAAUCUCCAGAACUUUCUAAAAAAAAUAUUGAGAUUUUCAAGCUAAAACCAGAAUUCAGUUUCGAAACUAGAAAAGUAGAAAACAACAACUAAAGAAAUUCAAGAAUACAAAGACGAUUAAAUUCUUUUUCCAACUCCUUCUCUUCAAUCUUUUAUUGGCACUAUUAUAAGUACAUUGGUAGUUUUACAUA